rnacentral:rRNA from 1 species
CCUACGGGUGGCAGCAGUAGGGAAUCUUUCACAAUGGGCGAAAGCCUGAUGGAGCAACGCCGCGUGCAGGAUGAAGGCCUUCGGGUUGUAAACUGCUUUUAUAAGCGAGAAAUAUGAUGGUAACUUAUGAAUCAGGAUCGGCUAACAACGGGCCAGCAGCCGAGGUCAUACGUAGGAUCCGCGCAUUAUCCGGAGUGACUGGGUGUAAAGAGUUGCGUAGGUAGCAUUAUAAGGUGCUAGUGAAAUCUGGUGGCUCAACCAUUCAGAAUACUAGCUAAACGGGUAAGCUCGAGACCGUUAGGGGUAAGUGGAAUUCCUAGUGUAGGAGUGAAAUCCGUAGAUAUUAGAAGGAACACCAAUAGCGUAGGCAGGUUGCUGGGACGGUUCUGACACUAAGGCACGAAAGCGUAGGGAGCAAACGGGAUUAGAUACCCUAGUAGUC